rnacentral:misc_RNA from 1 species
GAUGAAGAACGUAGCAAAAUGCGAUAAGUAAUGCGAAUUGCAGAAUUUCCGUGAGUCAUCGAAUCUUUGAACGCACAUUGCGCCCUUUGGUAUUCCUUAGGGCAUGCCUGUUCGAGCGUCAUUUAAACCUUCAAGCUAAGCUUGGUGUUGGGUGACUGUCCGCUUCACGGCGGACUCGCCUCAAAAUUAUUGGCGGCCGGUACAUUGGCUUCGAGCGCAGCAGAAACGCGAACUCGGGCCCGUCGUAUUGGCUCCCAGAAGCUAUCUUCACAAUUUUGACCUCGGAUCAGGUAGGGAUACCCGCUGAACUUAAGCAUAUCAAUAAGCGGAGGA